UCAGGCUCGGUAUCGUCGGCCCUAUAAAUACCCGCUCAUUUCGCAAUAUUAUCCUAGCACGAUCACGUAUCUUUCGCUGUUUGGUCCGUACAAGAAACAGAUAUUUUCUCGUUCUUCGUUCAAAGGACUGCAGAGGUUGUGGUUUGAAAAGGAUGGCUCUGGUUUCAGGAGGAAGGUCAACGUUGAACCCAGAUGCGCCUCUUUUUGUUCCUGCUGCUUAUCGGCAAGUGGAGGAUUUCUCUCCUGAGUGGUGGCAAUUGGUGACAACGACAACAUGGUUCCGGGAUUACUGGCUAAGUCAGCAUCAAGAUGAGAACGGUUUCUAUGACAACGCUGAGGAUGAGUUUGGGCUUGAUGGGAAUAAUGUAGCUGAUCUGUUGCCGGAUACAUUUGAUCUUGAUGCUGGCGAUUAUUUUUCUAGUUUGGAUUCUCAAUUUGCAGGUUUCGCAGAGGAAGGCUCUUCUCCUUUACCUUCCAAUGGAAUGCUUGCAAAUGGGUUUGUGUUGGAAGCAGAGGCACCGAAGAAGGAAACAGGUCUGAAAUCCAGUGCUUGAUGACUUCAAGCUGGAGCUACCCCCAAUCAGAGUAGAUCAAUGUAGUUUCUAGCUUUUGCAGGUCUCUGUAGAGCAAGGAGCAUUCAAGAAAUCCAUCUAUACUUCAAAAGGUGUUCGAACGGUGAAUCACCUGGGGGCGUACCCUUUUCUCUUUCUCAAAUGUACAUGGCCUCAAGAUGAGAUGACCUAAGCUUCAAAAUGAAGAACUUUGCCUUUCCAGUAAAUUGAACCUGACUGCAAUACUAGGAACAAAACUGGAAAAGAAGAGAGGGCAACAUCAUCCCAUUUGCUCGAUAAUCACAAGGAAGCAACCAUGGAAACUUCCAUUCACCCACCAGCAAGAUCCAUGAGUGUAGAACAAGCAUAACAUACACAGACUAUUCACUGACAAGAUCCAGGAGUGUUAACUCAACAAUAAGCUACCAUGCCUUCCUCUUUCGUUUAUUAAAACUGUAUUUUUCUUUACUCAACGAGGCUUUUACGGGCUGUAAGAAAUACCAAGAAAUGCUUAUAGCAGAAACAGUUCAUUAGCAUCAGCAUCAACAGUCAGUCACCAUGGAGGCUCAAAGGAGAGAAGGGCACGUGAUGGAAGAGCUGGUUAAACAUUAGUCGGAGCCGGUUUAAGGUGAACGGAAACCCUGAACAAUUUUUAUUUCUUAUUUGAAAUCUUUUGUUAAGUGAAAGCAAUCUUUAUUUUAUAAAAUAUAACUAAUAAAUAUACCUUAAAUA